GUAGGUGGCAAGCGUUGUCCGGAAUUAUUGGGCGUAAAGCGCGCGCAGGCGGUUCUUUAAGUCUGAUGUGAAAGCCCACGGCUCAACCGUGGAGGGUCAUUGGAAACUGGAGAUCUUGAGUACAGAAGAGGAAAGCGGAAUUCCACGUGUAGCGGUGAAAUGCGUAGAGAUGUGGAGGAACACCAGUGGCGAAGGCGGCUUUCUGGUCUGUAACUGACGCUGAGGCGCGAAAGCGUGGGGGAGCAAACAGGAUUAGAUACCCUGGUAGUCCACGCCGUAAACGAUGAGUGCUAAGUGUUAGGGGGUUUCCGCCCCUUAGUGCUGCAGCUAACGCAUUAAGCACUCCGCCCUGGGAGUACGGCCGCAAGGCUG
rnacentral:rRNA from 1 species